GAACGCACAUUGCACCCUCUGGUAUUCCGGAGGGUAUGCCUGUUUGAGUGUCAUUAAUAUGUCAACACAGGCAAGUUUGUCAAGACUUGCUCUGCUGUUUGGAUGUUGAAGGCUUGCUGGCAUUGACGUGUUCUGUCAGCUCCUUUUAAAUUCAUUAGCAGGAACCUUGCAGGACUGGCUUCAGUUUGAUAAGAUUGAACUGUUGUUAGAAUGCGCUUUUGCUGUUCCGGCUUCUAAUUGUCUGGUAAAACUGGACUGUCUCGCUCUGAGACAUUUACAUUUGACAACUUGGCCUCAAAUCAGGUAGGACUACCCGCUGAACUUA
rnacentral:misc_RNA from 1 species